UAGCCUCGAGGUAAAGAGUCAUGGAGGUAGAGCACUGUUUGGACUAGGGGCCCUUCUCGGGUUACCGAAUUCAGAUAAACUCCGAAUGCCAUGUACUUAUACUCGGGAGUCAGACUGCGAGUGAUAAGAUCCGUAGUCGAAAGGGAAACAGCCCAGACCACCAGUUAAGGUCCCCAAAUAUAUGUUAAGUGGAAAAGGAUGUGGGGUUGCUUAGACAACCAGGAUGUUGGCUUAGAAGCAGCCACCAUUGAAAGAGUGCGUAAUAGCUCACUGGUCGAGUGACCCCGCGCCGAAAAUGUACCGGGGCUAAACAUAUUACCGAAACUGUGGAUGAACCUCUUUAGAGGUUCGUGGUAGGAGAGCGUUCUAAGGGCGGUGAAGUCAGACCGGAAGGACUGGUGGAGCGCUUAGAAGUGAGAAUGCCGGUAUGAGUAGCGAAAGAAGGGUGAGAAUCCCUUCCACCGAAUAUCUAAGGUUUCCUGAGGAAGGCUCGUCCGCUC
rnacentral:rRNA from 1 species